rnacentral:tRNA from 1 species
ACAUCCGUAGCUCAGUUGGUUAGAGUGCUAUCUUGACAUGGUAGAGGGCGGUGGUUCAAAUCCACUCGGAUGUA